GACAGAGGGUGCAAACGUUGUUCGGAAUUACUGGGCGUAAAGCGCGUGUAGGCGGUCUCGCAAGUCGGAUGUGAAAGCCCAGGGCUCAACCCUGGAAGUGCACUCGAUACUGCGAGGCUAGAGUCCCGGAGAGGAUGGUGGAACUCUCGGUGUAGAGGUGAAAUUCGUAGAUAUCGAGAGGAACACCGGUGGCGAAGGCGGCCAUCUGGACGGUGACUGACGCUGAGACGCGAAAGCGUGGGGAGCGAACAGG
rnacentral:rRNA from 1 species